rnacentral:rRNA from 1 species
UACAGAGGUCCCAAGCGUUGUUCGGAUUCACUGGGCGUAAAGGGUGCGUAGGUGGUCGGGUAAGUCUGACGUGAAAUCUCCGAGCCUAACUCGGAAACUGCGUUGGAUACUAUUCGGCUGGAGGGUUGGAGGGGGGACUGGAAUUCUUGGUGUAGCAGUGAAAUGCGUAGAUAUCAAGAGGAACACCAGUGGCGAAGGCGAGUCCCUGGACAACUCCUGACACUGAGGCACGAAAGCUAGGGGAGCAAACAGG